CAGACCAGACUGGUGUUUGGGGUUUGAGAAGGAAACAUUCUUCCUUAGUUGUUUUUUUCCAAAUCUAAAGGCACAACAUAGAUUCGAGACAAUGUCCUAAGUAGUCGAACAUUUUAUUACUCCAACCCCGUGGAGGUGACAAACUCACACGUUUUAUUUUUUGUCAAAAACAACUUUAUAUCGAAGGAGUGGCUUUGAUUUGACGGCCUGCACUUGAGCAUUUCAUUGUGUUUCUACGCAUGAGUUUAGCUAGCCAACGAUUGUGGAGAGAUGUUCUGCUUGGAUUCUUUACCCACGAUAGGAAUACGCUGAAACAUUUUUACACUAGACGCUUUCUUUAGUGUCUCUGCCUUUCACAGGUCGGAGUGUGAAUUGUACAUUUGUCACCAAUAAAGGGAAAACGAGAAGAAUAAAUCGCACCACCAUCGAACCCAGAGGUUCCCAACCAGCGGUACUAGGUCCUCUUGCGACCCGUCAUUCAGUGCAGGCAGCUCCAAAUUGCAGGUGUUUCAGUCUAGCUCAGCGCUUUCUGUGGUGGUGGGGCAGCCAGCAGAAAAUACAGAACUUUGUGCCGUAAUUGGCCCUGCCGUGAUUGGCCCUGAUUGGCCCUGUCACUCAUGGGGACUUUACGUCAAUGCCAAGUGUAAGAGGGGACGGCUGCUGCCAUAGAAGUGCCCAUCCAAGAAGGCUCAAGGUCAUUGGCCACAGAUAAAAGGACUUCAAAUCAUGUUAUAUGUACAGUAGCUUUGAUUGGACUGAUCAUGUCAACAUCAUACCUUCAAAAUCUUAGCGAGCAGUCAUCAUCAAGAGAAAUUAUAGAUAACCUAUCGGUGCUCAUCGGCCAUUGGACAUAAACAUUACACUCAAGUGGUUUCGAAGGAAUCAAUGACAGUGGCUGUGUGUUCCCAAAUCUGGGUUUAAGGGGCUCUUUUCCCAGUUUAAAAUGAUAAACAUUCAACAUUGGCCAUGCUGUCAAUGAAGCAAGACUUGUGCUGAGGUCAAAACAACUGUUGACUUGGAAGACUGCCGCGCCACCUUCCUGCACAACAAUGUGAGUCCAAAAAUGUAUUGUAUGCUGCUUCAUAAAUUAUGUAAUAUGCCAGGGAGAAAUGUAUACUGUAGCUAAGAAAGUAAUAUUAAGUGUAUGUUAUGUAGUAACAUGUUAGUAGCCCAUUUUCCUCACCCUAAAAAUUUGGUCUAUUUACCCCUCUUAAUUUCGCCUAUUGUUCUGACUGUUCUUCUGUAGCCUAUAACCUGUUUUAGAGAAAUGUAAUCACUGAAUAUUGUCUGCUUGUAUGCACCCUUUAUUUAUCCUCUGGUUCUAACUUGGUGUACAGGGAGAGCACUGUAAGAACGGCCCAUGUUCUGAAUUCUGUCGCUGUACAUUUCAAAAGUGCUAAACAAAUAGUUAUAUUGACUAAAGUUCGACCUAGCUCGCUCAAUGUCUUAAUUGAAAUUACUGGAUUGCCUCUUAUCCGCUUGUUGUGUCUUUUUGCCUUAGUUUGUACAUCUGAAUUGUCAUUAGAAACCACAUUUCUUUAAGCAAGUCAGCCAUAUCAGCUGUGUUUUUUUAGAAAGCAGUAAAUGAGGCUGAAUGAACUGUUUUGCUGCCAGACAAGGCUCCACUGAUAGCCAGGUGUAGCAGUGGUAAGAUGUUAGGACAGCUUUACGUAGGCCCUAACAGUUUGGGGGCACCGUUUGUCAACGUUAUAGUACAACUAAUGUAUUGUUUAGUGUUGUGUAGUGGCUUUCCUGGCAUGCAUUCCACUUAAUUUAACAUUUUUCACUGACUAGGACCCCUUGGUUCACUGGGCCUGUCCACAGGGGGUACUGGUACUUGAGAAGACUCAUGAGACCUGUCGUGUCUUUGGCUAUGCCGGAUUAAGUGAUAUGACAUGCAAUUCUAUAAAAUCCUUUCUCCGUAAUUAAUAUUACCUGAUUGAGCUAAUCAUGUAAAUGUAAUUAACUAGAAAGUUGGGGCACCACAAAAUAAUAUUUAUAGAGCUGUUAUCUUCCGAAUAAACUCUUAAAGACCUAGUCAUAUUUUACAUCAAUAGCAGUCAAUAUUAAUCGUCACCUUAAUCGUCACCUGUCCGGGGGUGUCCUCGGAUGGGGCCACAGUGUCUCCUGACCCCUCCUGUCUCAGCCACCAGUAUUUAUGCUGCAGUAGUUUAUGUGUCGGGGGGCUAGGGUCAGUUUGUUAUAUCUGGAGUACUUCUCCUGUCCUAUUCGGUGUCCUGUGUGAAUUUAAGUGUGCUCUCUCUAAUUCUCUCUUUCUCUCUCUCGGAGGACCUGAGCCCUAGGACCAUGCCUCAGGACUACCUGACAUGAUGACUCCUUGCUGUCCCCAGUCCACCUGGCCGUGCUGCUGCUCCAGUUUCAACUGUUCUGCCUUAUUAUUGGACCAUGCUGGUCAUUUAGGAACAUUUGAACAUCUUGGCCAUGUUCUGCUAUAAUCUCCACCCGGCACCGCCAGGAGAGGACUGGCCACCCCACAUAGCCUGGUUCCUCUCGAGGUUUCUUCUGAGGUUUGGGCCUUUCUAGGGAGUUUUUCCUAGCCACCGUGCUUCUACACCUGCAUUGCUUGCUGUUUGGGGUUUUAGGCUGGGUUUCUGUAUAGCACUUUGAGAUAUCAGCUGAUGUACGAAGGGCUAUAUAAAUACAUUUGAUUUGAUUUGAUUUAAUUCAGUCUCAUCUGAAAGUUGUACAUUCUUGGUUAUCUUCACAAACCCUGGCUAACAAGUUGAAUCAGCAAUACAAAAUUGGGUUUAAUUAUUUAUUUACGAAAUACCUAACUAAUCACACAGAAUUACAUAUACACAGAAUGAAUUAUACCUUGAUUACAAAUUACAUCAUAAAGGAAAACGUCCCUAGCGGGCGGAACAGAUAUGAUAGCUGGUUACACAAAAGAAAAGGGGCUGGGUUUGAGUGAACGAGCGGGAAGACUGAGGAACAAAAGGGAGAAGCUGUGCUAUCAUAAAUAUAGUAUCUCAUGCAUUCUAAAUUACCGGCCAUUUGGAAAAGGAAAAUGCAAUAAAUAUUUACUCU